rnacentral:rRNA from 1 species
CCUACGGGGGGCUGCAGUGGGGAAUAUUGGACAAUGGGGGCAACCCUGAUCCAGCCAUGCCGCGUGUGUGAAGAAGGCCCUCGGGUUGUAAAGCACUUUCAGUGAGGAAGAACGCCUGGUGGUUAAUACCCAUCAGGAAAGACAUCACUCACAGAAGAAGCACCGGCUAACUCCGUGCCAGCAGCCGCGGUAAUACGGAGGGUGCGAGCGUUAAUCGGAAUUACUGGGCGUAAAGCGCGCGUAGGUGGCUUGAUAAGCCGGUUGUGAAAGCCCCGGGCUCAACCUGGGAACGGCAUCCGGAACUGUCAAGCUAGAGUGCAGGAGAGGAAGGUAGAAUUCCCGGUGUAGCGGUGAAAUGCGUAGAGAUCGGGAGGAAUACCAGUGGCGAAGGCGGCCUUCUGGACUGACACUGCCACUGAGGUGCGAAAGCGUGGGUAGCAAACAGGAUUAGAUACCCUAGUAGUA